ACGAACGCUGGCGGCGUGCUUAACACAUGCAAGUCGAACGGAAAGGCCCUGCUUUUGUGGGGUGCUCGGGUGGCGAACGGGGGAGUAACACGUGAGUAACCUGCCCUUGACUUUGGGAUAACUUCAGGAAACUGGGGCUAAUACCGGCUAGGAGCUCCUGCUGCAUGGUGGGGGUUGGAAAGUUUCGGCGGUUGGGGAUGGACUCGCGGCUUAUCAGCUUGUUGGUGGGGUAGUGGCAUACCAAGGCUUUGACGGGUAGCCGGCCUGAGAGGGUGACCGGCCACAUUGGGACUGAGAUACGGCCCAGACUCCUACGGGAGGCAGCAGUGGGGAAUAUUGCACAAUGGGCGGAAGCCUGAUGCAGCAACGCCGCGUGCGGGAAGACGGCCUUCGGGUUGUAAACCGCUUUCGCCUGUGACGAAGCGUGAGUGACGGUAAUGGGUAAAGAAGCACCGGCUAACUACGUG
rnacentral:rRNA from 1 species